rnacentral:lncRNA from 1 species
CAGAGCCCAGACUCAAGCUCUGGGAGUGGGGGGCUGGGGUUGGGGUCGAAUUGGCUGAGGAUGCCCUAAAUUAACUAGUAUUACCUGAAGUGACCGAAAUGAUGAUUUGGGAGCAUGAAUGGAAAUUAAAUUCAAUUAUGGAGCUAUGAGGGAAAGGUGUUUUUUUUGUGUGUGCACAGUUUAGACUGGAGAUGGAGAUACUUACCUGCCGCACAGAUAGUGCCGAUUCAGUGCGAUGAUGGCAAAGAUGGAAGCUCCUGAGAGACCCAGCUGACCCAGCUUGGGGUGGGGGCAAGGGAGAGUCAGGGGAGGCUUUCAGAAAAAAUGAUGCUUGAAUGGAAGAGGUAGGAGAGAGUAGCCUAAGAAACUAAGCCAGGGUAUUCUAGACAGAAGAAAAAGCCACGCAAAGGUACGGAGGCAUGAAACACACUGUUUUCUCUCUGGCAAAGUGUAACUAGUCCUGUGGAGUGAGGCUUAAAGCUGUGUGUACCACGGAUGGGAAUGGAUGAAGUUGUGACGGUCUUGUGGAUCGUGCUAAUUUGAGAGAAGAGGAGGUUGUUUUGUGUGUGUGUGUGUGUGUGUGGCUGUUUUGAGACUGAAAACAUCUCAGAAGCUUCUCAGUGAGGACCAGCAAAAGAGGAGCAGAGCAGCACAGGCCAAGGCUGUGUGUGAGAAGCAGAGGGUGCAGGCUGUCCUGGGAACAUGCCUCUCAGCCCAGGACCACAGCAAGAAUCAAGGCAAGCAUCACAAGCCAGGUAGCCACACUGUGGACUGAAAGAUAAGUGGAGAGCCAGAAGAGGAAAACAGACCCAAGGAUGAUUAAUUUUCCCUGAACCAGAACAGCAUACUCUGAUCGGAGAAAACCAGCCUCACUUAACAUUUAACAAACCACUAUCCACAGAAUGAAUUACCAUGGUAACCCAGGGCUGCAGAGUACCAAACUUCUGGAUCAGCCCAUUUUGUGCGUCCUGGUCACAUCUUGUGCCAUCUGACUCUUACUGAAUGUCUGCUGUGCGUAAGGCUUGUGGUGCGUCUCAUCAUUACCAGAUAGAAUUUGGACGAAACCCAACCACCCUCUCCAAUUCAAAUGUACUUUAGGAAGAAGAUUGAGCAGAAAUGUAAUUCCGUUGCCUUGUUCAGAGACUGUACAAGCAUCCAUUUGGAAUGAGACACUACACAUUAAGCCUAGUCCUGAUGCUCCAGGCAGGCCCACUUCAGCUCGCUCUGUCG